rnacentral:rRNA from 1 species
AUUGAACGCUGGCGGCAGGCUUAACACAUGCAAGUCGAGCGGAGAUGAGGUGCUUGCACCUUAUCUUAGCGGCGGACGGGUGAGUAAUGCUUAGGAAUCUGCCUAUUAGUGGGGGACAACAUUCCGAAAGGAAUGCUAAUACCGCAUACGUCCUACGGGAGAAAGCAGGGGAUCUUCGGACCUUGCGCUAAUAGAUGAGCCUAAGUCGGAUUAGCUAGUUGGUGGGGUAAAGGCCUACCAAGGCGACGAUCUGUAGCGGGUCUGAGAGGAUGAUCCGCCACACUGGGACUGAGACACGGCCCAGACUCCUGCGGGAGGCAGCAGUGGGGAAUAUUGGACAAUGGGCGGAAGCCUGAUCUAGCCAUGCCGCGUGUGUGAAGAAGGCCUUUUGGUUGUAAAGCACUUUAAGCGAGGAGGAGGCUACCUAGAUUAAUACUCUGGGAUAGUGGACGUUACUCGCAGAAUAAGCACCGGCUAACUCUGUGCCAGCCGCCGCCGUAAAAC